rnacentral:rRNA from 1 species
CACGUAGGGGCCAAGCGUUGUCCGGAUUCAUUGGGCGUAAAGAGCUCGUAGGCGGUUCAGUUAGUCGGGUGUGAAAUCUCCGGGCUCAACCCGGAGGGGCCACCCGAUACUGCUGUGACUCGAGUCCGGUAGGGGGAGUGGGGAAUUCCUGGUCGUAGCGGUGGAAAUGCGCAGAUAUCAGGAGGAACACCCGGUGGCGAAGGCGCCACUCUGGGCCGGUACUGACGCUGAGGAGCGAAAGCGUGGGGAGCAAACAGG